CCUACGGGAGGCAGCAGUGGGGAAUAUUGGGCAAUGUGCGCAAGCCUGACCCAGCAACGCCGCGUGAAGGAAGAAGGCUUUCGGGUUGUAAACUUCUUUUUACAGGGAAGAAUAGAAUACCGUACCUGUCGUAUAAACCCCAGCUUACUAAGUGCCAGCCGCCCAGGUUAUACGUAGGUUGCCAGCGUUGUCCGGAUUUACUGGGUGUACAGGACGUGUAGACGGGUUGAAAAGUCAGAUGUGAAAUGCUGCGGCGUAACCGCAGAAUUGCAGUUGAAACUGUUGAUCUUGAGUACAGUAGAGGUAGACGGAAUUCCUAGUGUAGCGGUGAAAUGCGGAGAUAUUAGGAAGAACGCCAGUGGCGAAGGCGGUCUACUGGACUGCAACUGACGUUGAGGCUCGAAAGCGUGGGGAGCAAACAGGAUUAGAUACCCGGGUAGUC
rnacentral:rRNA from 1 species